CCUACGGGUGGCAGCAGUGAGGAAUAUUUGUCAAUGGACGAGAGUCUGAACCAGCCAAGUAGCGUGAAGGAUGACUGCCCUAUGGGUUGUAAACUUCUUUUAUAUGGGAAUAAAACGUUCCACGUGUGGGAUUUUGUAUGUACCAUAUGAAUAAGGAUCGGCUAACUCCGGGCCAGCAGCCGCGGUAAUACGGAGGAUCCGAGCGUUAUCCGGAUUUAUUGGGGUUAAAGGGAGCGUAGGUGGAUUGUUAAGUCAGUUGUGAAAGUUUGCGGCUCAACCGUAAAAUUGCAGUUGAAACUGGCAGUCUUGAGUACAGUAGAGGUGGGCGGAAUUCGUGGUGUAGCGGUGAAAUGCUUAGAUAUCACGAAGAACUCCGAUUGCGAAGGCAGUUCACUGGACUGCAACUGACACUGAGGCUCGAAAGUGUGGGUAUCAAACAGGAUUAGAUACCCCUGUAGUC
rnacentral:rRNA from 1 species